rnacentral:rRNA from 1 species
AUUGAACGCUGGCGGCGUGCUUAACACAUGCAAGUCGAUCGGUAACAGGUGUAGCAAUACAUGCUGACGAGAGGCGGACGGGUGAGUAAUGCUUGGGAAUCUGCCUAUUAGUGGGGGACAACCCGGGGAAACUCGGGCUAAUACCGCAUACGCUCUACGGAGGAAAGCCGGGGACCGCAAGGCCUGGCGCUAAUAGAUGAGCCCAAGUCGGAUUAGCUAGUUGGUAGGGAACGGCCUACCAAGGCGACAAUCCGUAGCUGGUCUGAGAGGACGACCAGCCACACCGGAACUGAGACACGGUCCGGACUCCUACGGGAGGCAGCAGUGGGGAAUAUUGGACAAUGGGGGCAACCCUGAUCCAGCGACGCCGCGUGGGUGAAGAAGGCCUGCGGGUUGUAAAGCCCUUCGGUGGGGAAGAAAAGUCUCGACCUAAUACGUCGGGACCUUGACGUAACCACUAAAGAAGCACCGGCUAACUCUGUGCCAGCAGCCGCUGUAAC